rnacentral:rRNA from 1 species
GAUGAACGCUGGCGGCGUGCCUAAUACAUGCAAGUCGAGCGAACAGACGAGGAGCUUGCUCCUCUGACGUUAGCGGCGGACGGGUGAGUAACACGUGGAUAACCUUCCUAUAAGACUGGGAUAACUUCGGGAAACCGGAGCUAAUACCGGAUAAUAUAUUGAACCGCAUGGUUCAAUAGUGAAAGACGGUUUUGCUGUCACUUAUAGAUGGAUCCGCGCCGCAUUAGCUAGUUGGUAAGGUAACGGCUCACCAAGGCAACGAUGCGUAGCCGACCUGAGAGGGUGAUCAGCCACACUGGAACUGAGACACGGUCCAGACUCCUACGGGAGGCAGCAGUAGGGAAUCUUCCGCAAUGGGCGAAAGCCUGACGGAGCAACGCCGCGUGAGUGAUGAAGGUCUUCGGAUCGUAAAACUCUGUUAUUAGGGAAGAACAAAUGUGUAAGUAACUAUGCACGUCUUGACGGUACCUAAUCAGAAAGCCACGGCUAACUACGUG